AUGUUAGGUAAAAAGUCAAGAAGCCAGAUACUAAAGAGAAGAAAUGUGAAGCCAAGAAGGCUGAUGCUGGUGGCAAGGUGAAAAAGGAUAAACUCACGGCCAAAAAUCCCAAGAAGGGGAAGCCCCACGACAGCUGAAAUCCUGUCCUCAUCAGAGGAACUGGCAGAUAUUCCCUAUCUGCUAUGUAUUCCAGUAAAAAAGGAAAUACUCAGCCACUAAAUCCAGGAUUGAAAAGAAAAAGGAGAAGGUUCUUGCCACUGUCACACAACCAAAAAACUGGUGGUGAUGAGAAUGGUAGUACCCAGGUGGGUAAACUUUGCAAAAUGCCUAGAUAUUACCCUACUGAAGAUGUACCUUUAAAGCUGCCAAGCCACGGCAAAAACCCUUCAGUCAACAUCCAAGAAAACUGUGAGCCAGCAUCGCUCCCGAGACCCUCUGACCAUCAUCACUGGGCACUACAGACACAAGAGGGUGGCUUUUCUGAAGCAGCUGAGCUACUUGUGACUAGACCUCUGGUCUUCAAGCAAGUUCCUCUUUAUAGAACACACCAGAAAUUAUCAUUGCCACCUCCAUAAAAAUUAAUAUCAGCAAUGUGAAAAUCCCAAAUAAUCUCACUGAUGCUUACGUCAAGCAGCAGCUGAGAAAGCCCAGAAGCCAGGAAGGUGAGAUCUUUGACACACAAAGAGAAAUAUGAGAUUACAAAGCAGUGCAGGGUUGAUCAGAAAGAUGUAGACUUGAAAAUUUCAUCAAAAAUCAAAGCUAUUUCUCAUCUCCAGGGCUACCUGUGAUCUAUUUGCCCUGAGGAAAGGAGUUUAUCUCACAAAUUGGUAAAUUAA
rnacentral:lncRNA from 1 species